AGUGAACGCUGGCGGUAGGCCUAACACAUGCAAGUCGAACGGCAGCACAGUAAGAGCUUGCUCUUACGGGUGGCGAGUGGCGGACGGGUGAGGAAUACAUCGGAAUCUACUUUUUCGUGGGGGAUAACGUAGGGAAACUUACGCUAAUACCGCAUACGACCUACGGGUGAAAGCAGGGGAUCUUCGGACCUUGCGCGAUUGAAUGAGCCGAUGUCGGAUUAGCUAGUUGGCGGGGUAAAGGCCCACCAAGGCGACGAUCCGUAGCUGGUCUGAGAGGAUGAUCAGCCACACUCGAACUGAGACACGGUCCAGACUCCUACGGGAGGCAGCAGUGGGGAAUAUUGGGCAAUGGGCGCAAGCCUGAUCCAGCCAUACCGCGUGGGUGAAGAAGGCCUUCGGGUUGUAAAGCCCUUUUGUUGGGAAAGAAAAGCAGCAGGUUAAUACCCCGCUGUUCUGACGGUACCCAAAGAAUAAGCACCGGCUAACUUCGUG
rnacentral:rRNA from 1 species